rnacentral:rRNA from 1 species
GACGAACGCUGGCGGCGUGCUUAACACAUGCAAGUCGAACGAAGUGGCGAACGGGUGAGUAACGCGUAAUCAACCUGCCCUUCAGAGGGGGACAACAGUUGGAAACGACUGCUAAUACCGCAUACUGAGGGAGGGGAUUCCGUGUGUUUAGCUAGUUGGCGGGGUAACGGCCCACCAAGGCUAGGAUCAGUAGCCGGUCCGGGAGGAGGAACGGCCACAGUGGGACUGAGACACGGGCCAGACUCCUACGGGAUGCAGCAGUGGGGAAUCUUCCGCAAUGGACGAAAGUCUGACGGAGCAACGCCGCGUGAGUGAUGACGGCCUUCGGGUUGUAAAGCUCUGUUUAUCGGGACGCGGUACCGAACUAGAAAGCCACGGCUAACUACGUGCCAGCAGCCGCGGUAAUAC